rnacentral:rRNA from 1 species
AUACAGAGGGUGCGAGCGUUAAUCGGAAUUACUGGGCGUAAAGCGCGCGUAGGCGGCUACUUAAGUCGGAUGUGAAAUCCCCGGGCUCAACCUGGGAACUGCAUCUGAUACUGGGUAGCUAGAGUUUAGGAGAGGGAAGUAGAAUUUCAGGUGUAGCGGUGAAAUGCAUAGAGAUCUGAAGGAAUACCAGUGGCGAAGGCGGCUUCCUGGCCUAAAACUGACGCUGAGGUGCGAGAGCGUGGGUAGCAAACGGGAUUAGAAACCCCAGUAGUCC